CUUGAAAUUUCCAGCAAACUAAGAGUGAGAGAGAGCUUGAGUUCUAGUAGUAUAGAAAAGGAAUCGGUAGCUGCUGCAAGAGGGCCAGAGACACAAGUAAACGGCUGCGGGUCUUAGGAUCAGAAGAAGGAUUUAGCAGCUGUUUUCAAGAGCGAGAGAGAGAGGAUAGGGACUUAUCUGCUGCCGAUGAAGCGGCGUGGCUCGCGGAGGAAGCGCGUGCAGCGCUGCUGCUCGCCGACGGGUUCCCUACCGCCACGAGGAGAAGGCGACAGGGCCGGGAAGCCAAGGGCGACGGUGGUGGUGCGUUACGGAGUUGAGGGGGGCUGGACGGAGAAGUGUACUCUGGCGAGUUCGCACACCAGCGAAGGCAGCAGUGGCGAGAGCACCGCCUGUUACGAUCACAAAUUGAUGAAGAGGCACUCCACAUAAGAGUGGGCUGGGGUUGAGUGCCACGUCAGCUAAUAAGGGAGGACAGCCGGAGAUCUAACUAUCUAAUAACCAUGAGGGAGAAAGAGGAGAGAGAGGGGCUUGUGAGCUGAAUAUAAAAGGAGAGAAAGAUGCAGCAUAUACUCAUUCAUUAAAAUAGUGUGUUGUGUGCGCUGAGCGCUUGGGCUGAGGAUCGUGGAUCCGAAGCAUUAACCUUGGUUACUUCUAUCUUGUUUAUCGUUAUCAAUUCCUAUUGUAUCGUCUACUGUAUCGUCAUUUCUUUAUCCGUUGAUAAUCACUUCAAUAUCA